AGUCUAUUAUUUCGCUUGAGACUGAUUAUAGCAUUAUCUUAAUUUGGGUAUGCUUUAAUUCUGAGCCCACCCACUUCUCAAUAACACACCCAGACCUAUACUCUUUCUUCUUUCCACACAAACACAAACACAAACACAAACACGGACAACUUCAACCAUGAACCCUAAAUCCCAAAGCGUCGCCUCGAUUUUUUUCUUUAUCAUCGAUUUUGUACUCCCAGAACGGGGCAUUCGUACAAUCAAAGCUUCUAGGAGUAAUCACGAACACCCAAUCCAAAGUAGGAUUUGAAUGUGCAAAGCAGUGCUUCAGAGAAACUGGACCCUUGAAUGGUGUGACCUGAAAAUGUGACUCUUUUCCUCUCUUUUCCUCCUAAUGAAAUCAAUCCGGAGUUGGGGUAUGGAAGGCGUUCUUCAAAUCUCUCUCUCGUUUUGUUGCCCGAAAAAGGGUAAAAUUUCCUCCCCUUUUGUAAAAUUCUAGCAUAGUUUAAAUUUAUUACUCAAGUAGUCUAUGUUUCUCUUUGGUUUAGCUAUAAUUCUUCCUCGUCUUAGCUGUAAUUUUUAUCAUCUAUUUCUAUUAGAAGUUAAUUUUGAUAUACAUGUUUGUAUUCUGUAAUUUUUUUUUUUGGCUCAAAAUAUGCAUUUGAUCCUAUUUGGUUAGCUUGCUAGAUUCUAUAUUAGAAUGGUAAUAUUAUCUGAUUUGUCUGUUAAAUUAGCUUAUUGUUGAUUUCAUCAGUUAAAGUAGCUCAUUCUUUCUAGUAUGAUCCCUAUCUUUCAUAUAUGCCAGCAUAGUUUAGAUUCAAAGUUCAUUUCUAAAGUGGCUCCUGCUGGUGUAGCUUUUCGUUUUUUAGUUUAUGCUAUUCUAUUUCAAAGCUUAAUUAUUUUGUGAAUAUAACCAUCCAGCUUUGUAGUGAUUUCAUAUAAAUGUAAAGAAUGUGUUUGUAGUUUUCAUGUGUGUUCUUUCAUAUGAAUCGGUCCUUGAUAUAUGCUUGAAUUAAGUCACAAUCUUAAUAGCUGUUACAUUUUUCUGAUUAGCUAAAACUUGGCAAAUUGAAUGAGAGCUUUGUUUUCAGUAUGCAACAUGAGUCUACGUCGAGAUCUAUUUGUUGUUAAAUUUCUUUAGAGUUUGAACUCCCGUUUAAAAGGAAAGACUUGAGUAUCUAAUGGCGUUUUCCCUCAGAAUUCGUUCUGGUCCCUUCUUCUUGUUUGAACCUAAUUUACACAUGAAACUAUUCCUUUCAGGGUUAAAGGCAUAUUACGCGAAUUCAGUAUCAUGUCAAUGUUUCUCUUAAAUUUGGUCAUCUGAUUGCAAUAUUCUGUGAUUACUAGUUUGAAAAUUGUUCUACAUCUAGCUUUUUUGGAACUAGUACAACCUGUUAAUUGCAUUGAUUCGGAUGGUUUUAGUCUCUACUUAGGUUAUGAUUUUAAUUCGUAGCCUUACUCUAGUGUUCUGGAAUUCAUUUUGCUCGAGCGUUCUGUUUGCUAAAUGUGUAUUAAAAGUUAAGUAAAGUUUUGAUAAGGUUAGCUCAAAAUCAUCCUCAUAUGGUGUUUUUCCGAAUUUAUCUUAAAGAUCUUGCAUACAUGGCGUGUUAGAAUAUUUUUUCUGGUUUGAUGUUAAAGAUUUGAUUGCUACAUUCUCUUGUACUUUGAUUAUUGUAAUAUUUUAUUGUAGUAUUUUUCUUUCUCAUGAUUUCUAUAGUUUCUGCAUUGGCACUUUUUUUCUUGAGCCGAGGUUCUAUCGGAAACAACUCCCAAAGUAAGGAUAUGUUCUUAUGUGGUAUUUGUAAACUUUUGCAUUUCACUAUGUUUUGUGUUAUUUGCACGUUCAGGUUGUCCUAAAGAUGCAUAAUCCAUCGCGUUAGCUCUUUCCCUCAACAAUAUUUUCGAGACAAUCAACUAUUGGCUCUUAACAUAUCAUAGGAAAUACUUUCUCCAUGUGAGAGCUUAUUUACCUAGAAAUAUGUUAUUGGAUAUGCAUUGGACUACCUCGUCUUCAACUUCAUGCUAGGUUGUUGGUCCUUCCAAUUUUAUUGCCUUUGUUGUAGACUAGUGUUGUGUAGAGCGGAUGCUGUUAGUUUUAGCUGUACAAAUUCUUGUAUUUUGAAUUUAUUUUGACAAAUUGUGGAUAUCAAUUUGAAUGAAACUAUUUUAUUUUAUAUCUUA